rnacentral:rRNA from 1 species
UGGGGAAUAUUGCACAAUGGGGGAAACCCUGAUGCAGCGACGCCGCGUGGAGGAAGAAGGUCUUCGGAUUGUAAACUCCUGUUGUUGGGGAAAAUAAGGAUGGUACCCAACAAGGAAGUGACGGCUAACUACGUGCCAGCAGCCGCGGUAAAACGUAGGUCACAAGCGUUGUCCGGAAUUACUGGGUGUAAAGGGAGCGCAGGCGGGUAUGCAAGUUGGAAGUGAAAUACAUGGGCUCAACCCAUGAACUGCUUUCAAAACUGUGUAUCUUGAGUAGUGCAGAGGUAGGCGGAAUUCCCGGUGUAGCGGUGGAAUGCGUAGAUAUCGGGAGGAACACCAGUGGCGAAGGCGGCCUACUGGGCACCAACUGACGCUGAGGCUCGAAAGUGUGGGUAGCAAACAGGAUUAGAUACCCUAGU